GCUUAACACAUGCAAGUCGAGCGGUAACAGAUCUAGCUUGCUAGAUGCUGACGAGCGGCGGACGGGUGAGUAACGCGUAGAUAGCUGCCUAGUAGUGGGGGAUAGCCCGGGGAAACUCGGAUUAAUACCGCAUACGCUCUACGGAGGAAAGGGGGCUUCGGCUCUCGCUAUUAGAUGUGUCUGCGUGGGAUUAGCUAGUUGGUGAGGUAAAGGCUCACCAAGGCGACGAUCUCUAGCUGGUCUGAGAGGAUGAUCAGCCACACUGGGACUGAGACACGGCCCAGACUCCUACGGGAGGCAGCAGUGGGGAAUAUUGCACAAUGGGCGCAAGCCUGAUGCAGCCAUGCCGCGUGUGUGAAGAAGGCUCUAGGGUUGUAAAGCACUUUCAGUAGGGAGGAAGGCCUCGUA
rnacentral:rRNA from 1 species